GACGAACGCUGGCGGCGUGCUUAACACAUGCAAGUCGAACGGAAAGGCCCUGCUUGCCGGGUACUCGAGUGGCGAACGGGUGAGUAACACGUGGGUGAUCUGCCCUGCACUUCGGGAUAAGCUUGGGAAACUGGGUCUAAUACCGGAUAGGAACCAUCUUUAGUGUGGUGGUUGGAAAGUUUUUUCGGUGUAGGAUGAGCUCGCGGCCUAACAGCUUGUUGGUGGGGUAAUGGCCUACCAAGGCGGCGACGGGUAGCCGGCCUGAGAGGGUGUACGGCCACAUUGGGACUGAGAUACGGCCCAGACUCCUACGGGAGGCAGCAGUGGGGAAUAUUGCACAAUGGGCGCAAGCCUGAUGCAGCGACGCCGCGUGGGGGAUGAAGGCCUUCGGGUUGUAAACUCCUUUCGCUAGGGACGAAGCUUUGUUGUGACGGUACCUAGAUAAGAAGCACCGGCUAACUACGU
rnacentral:rRNA from 1 species